rnacentral:rRNA from 1 species
CUCAGUAACACGUGGCUAAUCUGCCCUUAGGACGAGAACAACCCCGGGAAACUGGGGCUAACUCUUGAUAGGUGAAGAACUCUGGAAUGAGUCUUUGCCUAAAAAGAUUCACGUUAUCCUCGUGAACCUGCCUAAGGAUGAGGCCGCGACCGAUCAGGUUGUUGGCGAGGUAAUGGCUCACCAAGCCUUUUACCGGUGCGGGCCGUGGGAGCGGGAGCCCGGAGAUGGGUACUGAGACAAGGACCCAGGCCCUACGGGGCGCAGCAGUCGCGAAACCUUUGCAAUACACGAAAGUGUGACAGGGCUAUCCCGAGUGCCAUCCGCUGAGGAAGGCUUUUACCCAGUCUAGAACGCUGGGGGAAUAAGGAGAGGGCAAGUCUGGUGUCAGCCGCCGCGGUAAUACCAGCUCUCCGAGUGGUGUGGAUGUUUAUUGGGCCUAAAGCAUCCGUAGCUGGCUAGGUAAGUCCCUUGUUAAAUCCACCGAAUUAAUCGUUGGAUCGCGGGGGAUACUGCUUGGCUAGGGGACGAGAGAGGCAGACGGUAUUUUCGGGGUAGGGGGUGAAAUCCUAUAAUCCCGGGAAGACCACCAGUGGCGAAGGCUGUCUGCUAGAACGCGCCCGACGGUGAGGGAUGAAAGCUGGGGGAGCGAACCGGAUUAGAUACCCGGGUAGUCCCAGCUGUAAACGAUGCAGACUAGGUGUUUGGACGGCCACGUGCCGUUCUAGUGCCGCAGGGAAACUGUUAAGUCUGCCGCCUGGGGAGUACGAUCGCAAGAUUGAAACUUAAAGGA